rnacentral:tRNA from 1 species
GCCCCUGUGGCGGAAUUGGUAGACGCGCGCGACUCAAAAUCGCGUUCCUUCGGGAGUGCAGGUUCGAUUCCUGCCAGGGGCACCA